CCUACGGGAGGCAGCAGUAGGGAAUCUUCCACAAUGGGCGCAAGCCUGAUGGAGCAACACCGCGUGAGUGAAGAAGGGUUUCGGUUCGUAAAGCUCUGUUGUCGGAGAAGAACGUGCUUGAGAGUAACUGUUCACGCAGUGACGGUAUCUAACCAGAAAGUCACGGCUAACUACGUACCAGCAGCCCCGGUAAUACGUAGGGGGCAAGCGUUAUCCGGGUUUAUUGGGCGUACAGGCAGGGGAGGCGGUUGCUUAGGUCUGAUGUGAAAGCCUUCGGCUUAACCGAAGAAGGGCAUCGGAAACCGGGCAACGUGAGUGCAGAAGAGGACAGUGGAACUCCAUGUGUAGCGGUGGAAUGCGUAGAUAUAUGGAAGAACACCAGUGGCGAAGGCGGCUGUCUGGUCUGCAACUGACGCUGAGACUCGAAAGCAUGGGUAGCGAACAGGAUUAGAUACCCGUGUAGUC
rnacentral:rRNA from 1 species